GACUGUCAGUAAACAAAAAAGCACAUCUAAAACUUUGUGGUUUCAAAGAUGAGUGAGAAGUACAACUCCAAAAAGCUAUUGUCUCGAGGGAAUUUUUCAGAGACAGACAAAAAGCAGGCAGGCUUAGAAACACAAAUUCAUAUGAUUAGCACGUCCAUGCUCCAUGCCUCUGAGGAGGACACACACGUCAGAGGGCCCCAUGGACAUAGUAAAGAGCUGUCAGGAGGCCCACAGCAGAGACAAGCCUGUGCAAUUUGUGAUUCUGGACACGGCCCUCUAAGUCUCAGGCACUACGAGGUGUCACUGCUGUUGGCACUGUUUGCUUCUGCAGGCUCUCUCGGACACAAGGGAACCAAGAAGAGCAUCAGGAACGGGCACAUUCUCUGCACACCAGGCCUGGCAGCGGAGUGGCAUGCCGAAGAAAAGAUGGCGUGGAAUCUAACACGCUCUGCACAGAGCUUUGCAGAAAUGGGGUUAUCACAGCAGGCUGGGACGAGCCAACCGCCACAAUGCCAGGGAGAGGAAGGGACGGCUUUUCAGAGAAUUAGUCCACAUUCCAUUUAUAGCACAAGCAGACACAAAGCCCCAUGCCAUUCAUUGUCACAACACACAUGAUUUUUUUUUUACAGACAUUUUACAAUAACAACGGUGGUAUGGGUAGAUUAAAUGUGCAUCUUGUAUUAUGAUGUAUUACAAUGUUGUACUGUGAGUACAAAUGUUUGCACUGAGAACUUUACAUAGUUAUGGUUCUCAUCUCCUAAUGGGCAGGAGGAAAAUGCAGACAAAUUGGGCACGUGAAAGCUUAGGUGAACUGGCAGAUUCACUUUUUACAAUUGUAAAUUGUACAAUUGUAAUUGAGAAUAUAUACUGUAUGUAGUUAUGGAGCUGUAAAAAAAAACAGUACACAGUGAGCGUACUUAGCUUUUUUUUUGUUCACAAGGCAAGGUCAUGUUCAAUGCACUGUGCCAUGGAAAAUGAAUGCGCAAAGUCAAGUGGUGGUGUACAGAGUCAACUACAAAGUCAAGAGAAAAAAAACAGUGUUGCUUGGCGCACACAGAAAUGUUUGUUGGAAAACAGCUUUAAAUUGAAUGUCAACUACACAAGCACUGAGAUUGACUCAUGCUCUCCCCAAUGACAGCAAACAUAACUCUGGUAUCCAACUCCCUGCUGAGUCCUAGACGUCCGCCCAUUUCCUUCUCACCUGCUGUCUGCUCUGUCUAUUUGUCCUCGACGGGGGGCACAGAUGGUAACCAGGGUGCCCCUUUAAUGGGCAUUUACGCCAAAUUCAUUGGCAGUGCGGAGACAUUUACUGCACUAAUUACACACCACCAGGACAGGCCUGCUGCCCUCUGCACAUAAAUCUGCCCGAAGGUGGCAAGGUUGGGGUGGGCCUGAACAACUGCCAGCCAGCGGGAGCAAUGGCCAAGGUUAGUCAGUGCUGGCCUGAGCCAAAUAUACUGAGAGAAAGAGUUGGGCAUUGUUUGACUGGACCAUUGCAAUACACUCCAAUUCUGCUAGGGUAAUACAUAAAGAUUUAAACCUGACUUCUGACAUAUAUUGACUGCGAGAUGUAGUAUGACUGAAGGCCCAGUCAUGCAGAUUUUCACUCUGCAGUUUUGUAGGUGGAGCAGAGUGCUGCUGCAAGUUUAGUAUAGUUACUGACACAUUGCUGACUGAGAAAAAAAACUAAAACUCCAGGGUCUGUGGUAAACCUGUCCUAGUUCUGCAUGUGUUUGCUGAUGACUGCUGAUGUUUAGCACAAGAGCACGGAAGUAACAGAGUCUGCAAUUGGCAGUCCUAUUGGAGCUCUUUUAUUGGAUUCCUAUUGGAACUUAUUUUUAGACAGAUCAAUACAAGGCAAAGAUCAAACACUGUUCCUUCAAACCAGUCCUUGAUUAAUUAAAUCUGUGGCCAGAAACACGUGUGUGUGUGCUCCCAGUGUUUCUAAGCUCACACUUUGGACAAAAACAAGAGAGCGUGCUCACACUUUUCAAUACCCUGGCAAUUAAAAUGGUGUCCUAUGUGUGAAGCAGCGUGAAAGAGGGCUUUGGUUAAGAAUAUCAGCUCCCUAAGUGAAAUAUAAUACAGAUGAAAGCCUUUUAUGCAACAUUAAAAUUUAAUAUCAAUGAUCUAUGGAAUUCAUACCAUUCAUCACCACAUUCCACUGCUAUCAGCUUUCAAACGAGAAAAUGACUUUGGCUUACACAUCAUAUCGCAGAUAUUCUUAUUUCAAAAGCGCAGCGGACUUAAAUGUUCAACACCAGCAAUUAUCAUCCUCCUAUGCUUCAAUGAGAGCUUUAAUACAAGGGGUGAUAUGAGCGAGUUACAUCUCAGUGAUCUCAGUGGAAUUGUUAUUUUGCUGAAUGUGUGAGAGAGGGAGGGAGGUGGUAGGGUGAGAAGCAGGCAGGGACGACAAAGCAAAAUGUUUCCACUGUUUUUUAACUUUCUCAGCUACUGCUGAAUUCUAGGGAGAAUACUGAUCUAUGAUAAUAAUGAUAAUGAGCAUGCUCUCUCAACCAUGGCUUAAUGGAAUAUCCCAUUUCAAUUUCCAUUAAUCUGCUGUGGACAUGAACUCAGCUCAUUUGAAAAGAGGGACACUGAGAGGGACACACUCUGACUGAAGUUACUGCGGUCUCUUCGGAAACAUGGUGAAAUUAGAUAACAGAGGCACAAAGAUGAAGAAAUGCUAAGCAGGGUAAUCAGGACAAAUGUCCACAUUGUAUGCUUACACAGACAAGUGGAAUCAAAGCAGACAAACUUUUGAACUGGAUCUAAUUCAACACCAUGACUAUUUUACUGAACACCAGCAGAAUGUCAUGAUGUUUUGUUAGAUAAGAUAUUUGAAUGGCAGGUAGUUAAUCAUAAGGACACUAAUGAGUGUAAUUUCUUGGUAGCAAUCUGGUGUAAGGUCUUUAGUUGUAGUACUACUAGAUGUAGUAAAGUUACUAGUUUGCAGUACUAGCCUAUAGCAUAGGUGUACCUUGUCUACAUGCUAAUGUGCAUAAAGUCAACAUCCUAAAUAUUACAUUAGGUCAGUGGCUACAUUCUCUCUCUCCUGCGGAAAAAACCCCCCAAAACCCUGCAAUGAAAACCUUUUCCAGCUCAAAACUCCAGCUCCAAAAAAUACAUCUCCCAGAGUAAAACACAACAUACCUUUGAGAGGACAAAAACAAUUACAUAUAAUAGGAGACCAAGUCUUGACACUGAAACUUCUGGAAUCAGAGACAAGAGAACACACUCUGACAAUUAUCCUGUUAUGACUCUGGUUAGUUUCAACCUGGUGUAUGUUGUGCUUCCUGCAGAAGCAGGCCAGAUAGUCUAAUAUAGAUUUGAUAUACAGUAUGUGUUUCAGUUACAUAGCAACUAGGCUGUGUCAUUUCACCAUGUUCUUGUGCAAGAGGAACCCUACUCUACAGACUCUAAUUUUGUAGUAAAAAGAACUGUGUUAGUAUAUCUAUUUGACUUUGCUUCGUCCUGCCCACUCUCUGUUCAGAAAAGAGUUCACACAGUCAUUAGUUUUCUGGGAGCUGUAUUUACCUUAAUUAGCAGGUAGAAAAAGCCUCUGCAGCAAAGUUUCUGGAAUCGAUGGUGACAGGAGUUUUGAUGUAUAAGGGAGUUUGUGGCGUUCCAAAGGGCCUCAUGAUUGUGUCGCCUCAAUAGUUUUAUAAUUACACUCCCACCACAUAAUGGCUAUACCCCUGCCCAUGUACAGUAUUAAUCUCUAAUGCAUUUUUUAAACUGAGUCAGUAACUGAACAUCAUCCUUUGAAAGGGACAUUUUGUCACUGGCUGAUUCAUGCACCCCUUUGUUCAUUAUUCUGUAUCUGCUGGCUCAUUGAGGUACAUGCUUUUUCAGCAGACAAUGAUUCAGCUGGUCGAUCAGCCUGGACAGGGUUUUAUCUUUUCACCGUUUUAACACAAGGACACAUUUUCAAAAGAUUAUUGAAGUAAUUUGCAUGUGUUCCUCAAGCCACAGAUGACACGGGAACAAAUGUUUCCCAUUGUACACGGAAACUUUCAAGACAAUCCAAACUACAGAGAUAAAUAAAAUCCUAAAACACUGAACUAAGAAGUUUAAAUCCACACAGUGUUCUCUCCCUCUCUCUCACACUCUGGGACUGUAGCCUUUGCUCUGGGCUCAGCAAUGGAAAAGGGAGUUAAUGACAGGGUUAACCAAAGGUAAAGGAUUGGAAUACUCUAUUGGGACUUGUCACCAUGACAACCAUGGUUGCUAAAAUUGGACGCCAGCUUGGAUAGUUUGAUCCCGAAGUAAUGAGGGACUGGCCACACUUGUAAGAGACUUCUAAACGCAGUAGGUAAAUGCGAUCUCCUGACACCAGAUAAAUGAGCAUCGCUAUUUAAUCUCCAAGUUAACAUUUUUGCACAAAAACACUUUUACUUAUUAGAAUUUUUAGGGUAUAAAUGUCAGUAUUUACCACAACCUGAAACUACAAGUAGGGUAAUGAUUGUUUUACUGUAGACAACAUUACUUACUGUAGAGGUGU
ensembl:lncRNA